UCGGAGUUGAAACAUGUAUUUUGAUAAAGAGACAGAAUGUAUGGGUUCAUUAAGAAUGGAGAAGAAUCCUGCAUAUAUAAAUAGGUUAAUAACUUUGUGAUAGUAUUUUUUAUUUUAUAUGUGGAUGACAUUCUCUUAAUUAGAAAUGACAUCCCUACACAUUAUAAGGAAUAAAGGUUUGGCUGUCAUCACAGUUCUCCAUGAA
rnacentral:lncRNA from 1 species